rnacentral:rRNA from 1 species
UACGUAGGUGGCAAGCGUUGUCCGGAUUUACUGGGCGUAAAGAGCGCGCAGGCGGUCGUUCAAGUCGCGUGUGAAAGCCCCCCGGCUCAACUGGGGAGGGUCACGCGAUACUGAUCGACUCGAAGGCAGGAGAGGGAAGUGGAAUUCCCGGUGUAGUGGUGAAAUGCGUAGAUAUUCGGAAGAACACCAGUGGCGAAGGCGACUUACUGGACGAUUGUUGACGCUGAGGUGCGAAAGCGUGGGGAGCAAACAGG